GAACGUCAGAGCUCUCAGUGUUAGAAAUUCUGCCUCUCUCUUGCAAGCGUGGGGGACCACCGCUGAGAAGCCGCGGGGUGUCCAUCGAGUUUCUCCCAAGUCUCUGAGGGCUCCCGCAUCCUUCCCCAGGAAAUGGAAAGAGCAGACGGAGAUAUUUAUGAAGCUCCCACUAUGUGCCAAGGAUAUAGCACAAAGUCUCUCCUCUCAUGGAUCUCUUCAGGACCACGGGACUCACUCUCUGGGUAUUUAUUACACCUCUGGGUAUUGUUCACCUACUACCUGCCUGGAUCCUGUUUCUUCCCCCACUUUGG